rnacentral:misc_RNA from 1 species
GAUGAAGAACGUAGCAAAAUGCGAUACUUGGUGUGAAUUGCAGAAUCCCGUGAACCAUCGAGUCUUUGAACGCAAGUUGCGCCCGAAGCCUCGGCUAAGGGCACGUCUGCCUGGGCGUCACGCAUCGCGUCUCCCCCAAACCGCCAAGGCGGAGGGGAAGGAAGAUGGCUUCCCGUGCCUCACCCGGCGCGGUUGGCCUAAAUUUGGAGCCCGCGGCACUUAGCUCACGCGGCGAUAGGUGGUGAACAAGGCCUUGGCCGUGCAAACAACCCGCUGCGAAGCUCUAUGUCACGUGCGCUCGUCGGACCCUUUGAAGUUGCCUUCGGUGACUUAAAACCUUUGUGACCCCAGGUCAGGCGGGGCUACCCGCUGAAUUUAAGCAUAUCAAUAAGCGGAGGA